CGCCGCCAUGGCGGCGGCGGGAAUUCGAUUGGUUACCUUGUUACGACUUCACCUGAGCCAGGAUCAACACAAUC
rnacentral:rRNA from 1 species